AAAGAUUUUUUAAAAGGAAAUAUUUUAUGAAUUAAGAAAUAUUUGUGGCCAGGCACGGUGGCUCAUGCCUGUAAUCCCAGCACUUUGGGAGGCCAAGGCAGGCAUAUCACCUGAGGUCAGGAGUUCAAGACCAGCCUGGCCAACAUGGGGAAACCCCGUCUCUAUAAAAAAAAAAACAAAACAAAUAUUUUUGAUGCACAAAGAAUGAAAAGCAGAUAUGCAUAUAAUGCUGAUCAUGUCGGGUAUACAUAACAAGCCAUCAAAUAUUUACAGGUGUUAUCUCUGGGUUAUUAAGAAUAAUUUUUAUUUUCUUCUUUAUAUUUUGCUGCGCUAAAAAAAUUCCUACAGAAUUGUAAAAUGCAUCGUUUUAUAGAAGAAAAGUUCUUCUAAAAA
rnacentral:lncRNA from 10 species